rnacentral:rRNA from 1 species
CGAACGCUGGCGGCGUGCUUAACACAUGCAAGUCGAACGGAAAGGCCCUGCUUUUGUGGGGUGCUCGCGUGGCGAACGGGUGAGUAACACGUGAGUAAACUGCCCUUGACUUUGGGAUAACUUCAGGAAACUGGGGCUAAUACCGGAUAGGAGCUCCUGCUGCAUGGUGGGGGUUGGAAAGUUUCGGCGGUUGGGGAUGGACUCGCGGCUUAUCAGCUUGUUGGUGGGGUAGUGGCUUACCAAGGCUUUGACGGGUAGCCGGCCUGAGAGGGUGACCGGCCACAUUGGGACUGAGAUACGGCCCAGACUCCUACGGGAGGCAGCAGUGGGGAAUAUUGCACAAUGGGCGGAAGCCUGAUGCAGCAACGCCGCGUGCGGGAUGACGGCCUUCGGAUUGUAAACCGCUUUCGCCUGUGACGAAGCGUGAGUGACGGUAAUGGGUAAAGAAGCACCGGCUAACUACGUG